UACAGAGGGUGCAAGCGUUAAUCGGAAUUACUGGGCGUAAAGCGCAUGUAGGUUGUUUGAUAAGUUGGGUGUGAAAGCCCCGGGCUUAACCUGGGAAUGGCAUUUGGGACUGCAAGGCUUGAGUGCGGCAGAGGAGACUGGAAUUCCUGGUGUAGCAGUGAAAUGCGUAGAUAUCAGGAGGAAUACCGAUGGCGAAGGCAGGUCUCUGGGCUGACACUGACGCUCAUGCACGAAAGCGUGGGGAGCAAACAGG
rnacentral:rRNA from 1 species